rnacentral:tRNA from 1 species
GCAAGGGUUUUGGGCGGUUCAGUUCGCCCUCAUAACCCGAAGGUCGGGAGUUCAAAUCUCCCCCCCGCCACCA